rnacentral:rRNA from 1 species
GAUGAACGCUGGCGGCGUGCCUAACACAUGCAAGUCGAGCGGCAGCGCGGGGUGCUUGCACCCUGUCGGCGAGCGGCGGACGGCUGAGUAACGCGUGGGAACGUGCCCCAAAGUGAGGAAUAACUGCCCGAAAGGGUAGCUAAUACCGCAUAUUAUCUUCGGAUCAAAGGAUUUAUCCGCUUUGGGAGCGGCUCGCGUCGGAUUAGGUAGUUGGUGAGGUAAUGGCUCACCAAGCCGACGAUCCGUAGCUGGUCUGAGAGGAUGACCAGCCAGACUGGAACUGAGACACGGUCCAGACUCCUACGGGAGGCAGCAGUGAGGAAUCUUCCAAAAUGGGCGAAAGCCUGAUGGAGCAACGCCGCGUGCAGGACGAAGGCCUUCGGGUUGUAAACUGCUUUUAUAAGUGAGGAAUAUGACGGUAACUUAUGAAUAAGGAUCGGCUAACUACGUG